rnacentral:lncRNA from 1 species
AGGAGGAGGUUUUUCACUCAGAGGGUGGUGAUGCACUGGAACAGGUUGCCCAAGGAGGCUGUGGAUGCCCCAUCCCUGGAGGCAUUCAAGGCCAGGCUGGAUGUGGCUCUGGGCAGCCUGGUCUGGUGGUUGGCGACCCUGCACAUAGCAGGGGGUUGGAACUGGAUGAGCAUUGUGGUCCUUUUCAACCCAGGCCAUUCU